UACGAAGGGGGCUAGCGUUGCUCGGAAUCACUGGGCGUAAAGCGCACGUAGGCGGAUUGUUAAGUCAGGGGUGAAAUCCUGGAGCUCAACUCCAGAACUGCCUUUGAUACUGGCGAUCUCGAGUCCGGGAGAGGUGAGUGGAACUGCGAGUGUAGAGGUGAAAUUCGUAGAUAUUCGCAAGAACACCAGUGGCGAAGGCGGCUCACUGGCCCGGUACUGACGCUGAGAUGCGAAAGCGUGGGGAGCAAACAGG
rnacentral:rRNA from 1 species